rnacentral:misc_RNA from 1 species
GUGAGGAAUGCUACUGAAUACUGACAUUCAUUUACACAAUUCUCAUGGGUGCCAUCAUUUUCUUUUAAUUGCUUUGCUUGUCCAUUGUGGACUUUCAACAUAAUGAUAUUGUAGUUGUUCCUUCCCACCCUUUUAUCAUUGUCUGAUCACUGAUGUUUACAUUGUGACAUCCGCUUGACUUUCUCAAGGACUAUGAGUUAGAAGUUUAAACUG